rnacentral:rRNA from 1 species
GGACUGAGAGGUUGAACGGCCACAUUGGGACUGAGAUACGGCCCAGACUCCUACGGGAGGCAGCAGUCGGGAAUAUUGCGCAAUGGAGGAAACUCUGACGCAGUGACGCCGCGUGCAGGAAGAAGGUUUUCGGAUUGUAAACUGCUUUAGACAGGGAAGAACAAAGACAGUACCUGUAGAAUAAGCUCCGGCUAACUACGUGCCAGCAGCCGCGGUAAUACGUAGGGAGCAAGCGUUAUCCGGAUUUAUUGGGUGUAAAGGGUGCGUAGACGGUAAUGCAAGUUAGUUGUGAAAUCCCUCGGCUUAACUGAGGAACUGCAACUAAAACUACAUUUCUUGAGUAUUGGAGGGGAAAGUGGAAUUCCUAGUGUAGCGGUGAAAUGCGUAGAUAUUAGGAGGAACACCGGUGGCGAAGGCGACUUUCUGGACAAUUACUGACGUUGAGGCACGAAAGUGUGGGGAGCAAACAGGAUUAGAUACCCUGGUAGUCCACACCGUAAACGAUGGAUACUAGGUGUAGGAUGUGAUAAACAUUCUGUGCCGUCGCAAACGCAAUAAGUAUCCCACCUGGGGAGUACGGCCGCAAGGUU